AAGACCUUGCGCUUUUGGAGCGGCCGAUGUCUGAUUAGCUAGUUGGUGGGGUAAUGGCCUACCAAAGCUUCGAUCAGUAGCUGGUCUGAGAGGACGGCCAGCCACACUGGGACUGAGACACGGCCCAGACUCCUACGGGAGGCAGCAGUGGGGAAUUUUGGACAAUGGGCGCAAGCCUGAUCCAGCCAUGCCGCGUGAGUGAAGAAGGCCUUCGGGUUGUAAAGCUCUUUCAGCCGGAACGAAACGGUUACGGUUAACACCCGUGACUACUGACGGUACCGGAAGAAGAAGCACCGGCUAACUACGUGCCAGCAGCCGCGGUAAUACGUAGGGUGCGAGCGUUAAUCGGAAUUACUGGGCGUAAGGGGUGCGCAGGCGGUUUUGUAAGUCAGAUGUGAAAUCCCCGGGCUUAACCUGGGAACU
rnacentral:rRNA from 1 species